CAUUUCUCCAUGGUGGAGAACUGGACUACACGCCCUGAUGCUACGACUUAAGGUGACUGGUCAUAAAAACUUCAGCAUAGACAAGCUCUAUCGUUGAUAAGACAGCUGCAACACAUAGCUUUCGAGUUAUCAUGAAGCGGCAGAG
rnacentral:sRNA from 12 species